rnacentral:rRNA from 1 species
UGGCGAACGGGUGAGUAACACGUGGGCAACCUGCCCAAAAGAGGGGGAUAACACUUGGAAACAGGUGCUAAUACCGCAUAACCAUAGUUACCGCAUGGUAACUAUGUAAAAGGUGGCUAUGCUACCGCUUUUGGAUGGGCCCGCGGCGCAUUAGUUAGUUGGUGGGGUAAAGGCUUACCAAGGCAAUGAUGCGUAGCCGAACUGAGAGGUUGAUCGGCCACAUUGGGACUGAGACACGGCCCAAACUCCUACGGAAGGCAGCAG